rnacentral:rRNA from 1 species
UUCGUUUGAUCCUGCCGGACCCGACUGCUAUCAGAGUGGGACUAAGCCAUGCGAGUCAACGUAGCAAUACGUGGCAUACGGCUCAGUAACACGUAGUCAACAUGCCCAGGGGACGAGGAUAACCUCGGGAAACUGAGGAUAAACCUCGAUAGGCCAUGAUUUCUGGAAUGAUUCUUGGCUCAAACCUAUAUGGCCCCUGGAUUGGACUGCGGCCGAUCAGGCUGUUGGUGAGGUAAUGGCCCACCAAACCUAUUACCGGUACGGGCUCUGAGAGGAGGAGCCCGGAGAUGGGCACUGAGACAAGGGCCCAGGCCCUAUGGGGCGCAGCAGGCGCGAAACCUCUGCAAUAGGCGAAAGCUUGACAGGGUUACUCUGAGUGAUUUCCGCUAAGGGAAUCUUUUGGCACCUCUAAAAAUGGUGCAGAAUAAGGGGUGGGCAAGUCUGGUGUCAGCCGCCGCGGUAAUACCAGCACCCCGAGUGGUCGGGACGAUUAUUGGGCCUAAAGCAUCCGUAGCCGGUCCUGCAAGUCUUCCGUUAAAUCCAGCUGCUCAACAGAUGGGCUGCGGGAGAUACUACAGGGCUAGGAGGCGGGAGAGGCAAGCGGUACUUUAUGGGUAGGGGUAAAAUCCGCUGAUCCAUAGAAGACCACCAGUGGCGAAGGCGGCUUGCCAGAACGCGCUCGACGGUGAGGGAUGAAAGCUGGGGGAGCAAACCGGAUUAGAUACCCGGGUAGUCCCAGCUGUAAACGAUGCAGACUCGGUGAUGGGUUGGCCUCGCGCCUGCCCAGUGCCGCAGGGAAGCCGUUAAGUCUGCCGCCUGGGGAGUACGGUCGCAAGACUGAAACUUAAAGGAUUGGCGGGGGAGCA